CGGGAUGUAGCGCAGCUUGGCAGCGCGCCUGCCUUGGGAGCAGGAGGCCGCAGGUUCAAAUCCUGUCAUCCCGACCA
rnacentral:tRNA from 1 species